UGUGGAGCAGUGUAACCAAAACCGGGGAAUGCCAGGACAGUGCCAGGUGGCCGCUCGCGGGGCUGAGAAGUGACUGAGGAACAGAGGAAACAGAGUGGUAAGUGACGUGCACUUGUAAUCUCAGGCUGAGCAAAUACGAGGCAAAAAGCAGUUCCAAAAAAGGUAGAUUAUUGUCUGUACUGUACAAAAGAAGGAAGGCAAGAGACAGGCAGGAACCAGGGCAGCCCACAACAGGUCAGGUGGGCAGGCAGAGGUCACACACAAAGCUGAGGUCCAAAAGAGAAUGAUGGCUGGAGAUCUUCACAAGAGCACAAGACAAUCUAGCACUGGGGUGGAAAAAGAGAGGAGACAGAGUUUACUGUGCACUAUAUACCGUCGUGUUAAAUACAAAAUCUAAACACGUGGGCAGAAAUUACUGCACACUAAAUAUCAU